UACGUAGGGGGCUAGCGUUGUCCGGAAUCAUUGGGCGUAAAGCGCGUGUAGGCGGUCCGGUAAGUCCGCUGUGAAAGUCGAGGGCUCAACCCUCGAAUGCCGGUGGAUACUGUCGGGCUUGAGUACGGGAGAGGCGAGUGGAAUUCCUGGUGUAGCGGUGAAAUGCGCAGAUAUCAGGAGGAACACCGAUUGCAAAGGCAGCUCGCUGGAACGUUACUGACGCUGAGACGCGAAAGCGUGGGGAGCAAACAGG
rnacentral:rRNA from 1 species